rnacentral:rRNA from 1 species
UAGGGAAUCUUCGGCAAUGGACGGAAGUCUGACCGAGCAACGCCGCGUGAGUGAAGAAGGUUUUCGGAUCGUAAAGCUCUGUUGUUAGAGAAGAACGUUGGUAGGAGUGGAAAAUCUACCAAGUGACGGUAACUAACCAGAAAGGGACGGCUAACUACGUGCCAGCAGCCGCGGUAAUACGUAGGUCCCGAGCGUUGUCCGGAUUUAUUGGGCGUAAAGCGAGCGCAGGCGGUUCUUUAAGUCUGAAGUUAAAGGCAGUGGCUUAACCUUGGUACGCUUUGGAAACUGGAGGACUUGAGUGCAGAAGGGGGGAGUGGAAUUCCAUGUGUAGCGGUGAAAUGCGUAGAUUUAUGGAAGGACACCGGUGGCGAAAGCGGCUCUCUGGUCUGUAACUGACGCUGAGGCUCGAAAGCGUGGGGAGCAAACAGG